UGCGGGGUGGAGCAGCCUGGUAGCUCGUCGGGCUCAUAACCCGAAGGUCGUCGGUUCAAAUCCGGCCCCCGCAACCA
rnacentral:tRNA from 8 species